GGUGGAUGGUGUGCGUAGUGCUGUCUGUGUCAUGUGCUGCUGCCAGCCUGUGUCUUACAGGCUGGCAGCAGUGCUCACUCCUCACCUGCGGCCUUAGAGACACUGGAGAUCAUAGUACUGGCUUUUUGACAUAUUCCGUUGCCAGCCUCCAAAUUCUCCUACAAAC